AACGAACGCUGGCGGCAUGCCUAACACAUGCAAGUCGAACGAGACCUUCGGGUCUAGUGGCGCACGGGUGCGUAACGCGUGGGAAUCUGCCCUUGGGUUCGGAAUAACAGUUAGAAAUGACUGCUAAUACCGGAUGAUGUCUUCGGACCAAAGAUUUAUCGCCCAAGGAUGAGCCCGCGUGAGAUUAGCUUGUUGGUGAGGUAAAAGCUCACCAAGGCGACGAUCUUUAGCUGGUCUGAGAGGAUGAUCAGCCACACUGGGACUGAGACACGGCCCAGACUCCUGCGGGAGGCAGGAGUGGGGAAUAUUGGACAAUGGGCGAAAGCCUGAUCCAGCAAUGCCGCGUGAGUGAUGAAGGCCUUAGGGUUGUAAAGCUCUUUUACCCGGGAUGAUAAUGACAGUACCGGGAGAAUAAGCCCCGGCUAACUCCGUGCCAGCCGCCGCAGUAAUAC
rnacentral:rRNA from 1 species